UGGUUGGUUGGCAUUUUUUAGAGAUGGAGCCUUGCUAUGUUGCCCAGGCAGAUCCCACCUCCAGGCCUCAAAUAAUCAUCAAGCCUUACCCUCCCAAGUAGCUGGGAUUACAGGUGUAAGCCACAGCACCCAGCACUUACUAUGUGCAUUAGUUCUAAUCUUGUACCCUGGGCAUAUUUUAAAAUAGAAUUUAUAAUACUAUUUCUAAGUAUUUACUACCAAACAUUGAUUCCUCCAGCCUUAACAAAAAUCCAGGAAAUUUUGAUUAAUAGCAACGUCAUGGCAAAAGUGCCAAUGACAGGCGAUAUUUGAGAUAAAGAACACAAUUACUGAAUACAUUUUUUUUGUUUCCAAAGUCAGUCACUUGUUUGUUUAGACAAGCUGUGGCCAUCUGUAAGGGAAAGUAAAUAUGCUCAAGCACUGGCACUGCAUACGUGAGAAUUGUCAGUCUCACUACCAUCUUCUAUGUCCAGCUGCCCAGCUGCCCUGCAACUACUUCAGGGAGAAACUAGCAGGUGCCCAGCAACUACUUCCUGCUUCCUCCCUGAAGUAAUAUGUAAAGUACCAACCACAAUGCUUGUUCUACAGUAGACAAGAAAUGUACCAACCGAAGACCACUCUGGAGCUGAGCAAAUUCACCUCAGAAUGGCCAGAUCUGUUCAGCACAGAGAACUGGUGGACCCAGUGACUCUUCUUCACCACCUGAAACCAAGGCAUGAAAUGAUUUCUGCAACCUUACAUUUUCCUCAAGAACACUGGUGAGCAGAAGAUAUAUUCCAAAAAUCACGUGGGAUUGCUUGCUACAUCUACUUCUUUCAUAGAAAUGUAUGAUAAGCAAUUAUACAUGCUCCACCAAAAAAAGUCAUUAGGUUUUUUUCCCCAUUAAGGGAGGAAAGAAGAAAAAUGGAAGAAUGGAUUAAAAAAAAAAAAAACGAGAAACAGGAAAGAAAGAGGAAGGAAGGGAGGGAACUCUGACAAUAGGAUCUAUUUUCAAAUAAUGUUUACAAUGUAAAAACUGAUUGCCUCCUUAAGGAAGAAAGUGCAAUAAAUAUUCUUCUAAAGAACAGCUUGUAGAUAAUGUAUGGUUAUAAACUGUAACUCACUAUACAAAUGUUAGUUAUUCUUGUUGUGAGUAUUUUACAUAUAUGGAAAUUUGCUUACAACCUAUAAGUGUGCUAAUAAAAAUAGGUAUUUGUGAAUAUAAAUUACACUGGUCAUAAAAUCAGACUUAUUAAUCUAAUAUAUCUUAGAAUGAGACCAAACUUAAAUGAGCCACUCUAUAACGUAGAUAUCUGGAAAUAUGGUUUAUCCUAUUCCAUUAGUAUCUAUCAGAAUAGGAAUGCAAAAGUUUUGCUAUACUUCACAUAAUGUUGGCAACCUGAAUUUAAAUCUUCAAACUAGUAAACAAUCACUGUCAGGCAUGCAUAUUGUCCAAGUUAAAAAAAAUUUGUUUGUAUAGGGAAAGUAAAAUGAGCAAAUUCAUUUGUUAACAUCCUUUUAAGUGUCCAGGUUAUUUAUUUUAGCAGAUACACCAUAAGAAACAGCCAUAUAAAUAAAUAAAAUAUCUUUGACUCCCCAGUAUCUUGCAUGUUACCACAGGUACUCCAAACACA
rnacentral:lncRNA from 10 species